GAGCGAGUAGCUCAGUUGGUAGAGCAACUGACUUUUAAUCAGUAGGUCCAGGGUUCGAGCCCCUGCUCGCUCA
rnacentral:tRNA from 1 species